GACGAACGCUGGCGGCGUGCUUAAUACAUGCAAGUCAACGACUUUUAGAGUAGCAAUAUUUUAAAAGGAGUGGCGCACGGGUGAGUAACACGUAGGUAAUCUGCCUUCAGGACUGACACAACUCGUCGAAAGACGGGCUAAUAUCAGAUAAUGCAGCGGCUCCGCAUGGAGACAGUUGUUAAAGUACAAGCGCCUGAAGAUGAGCCUGCGGUCCAUUAGCUAGUUGGUAGAGUAACAGCCUACCAAGGCAACGAUGGAUAGCUGGUCUGAGAGGAUGAUCAGCCACACUGGAACUGAGACACGGUCCAGACUCCUACGGGAGGCAGCAGUAAGGAAUAUUGCUCAAUGGCCGAAAGGCUGAAGCAGCAACGCCGCGUGAAGGAUGAAUGGCCUUUGGCCUGUAAACUUCUAGUAAAAAGGGAAAACAAUCAGGCAUGUCCUGAUUUGAUUGUACCUUUGAAGUAAGCCCCGGA
rnacentral:rRNA from 1 species